rnacentral:piRNA from 1 species
UACUCAAGGGACCAACGUUUCCAAAAAUC